rnacentral:rRNA from 1 species
UAGCCCUUGGAAACGAGGAUUAAUACUCCAUGGUAUCAUUUCUUCGCAUGUUAAAAUGAUUAAAGAAUUUCAGUAUGAGAUGGGCAUGCGUCCCAUUAGCUAGUUGGUGAGGUAACGGCUCACCAAGGCGACGAUGGGUAGGGGGCCUGAGAGGGUGGUCCCCCACACUGGUACUGAGACACGGACCAGACUCCUACGGGAGGCAGCAGUGAGGAAUAUUGGUCAAUGGAGGCAACUCUGAACCAGCCAUGCCGCGUGAAGGAUGACGGCCCUAUGGGUUGUAAACUUCUUUUAUAUGGGAAGAAACUUAUCUACGUGUAGAUAACUGACGGUACCAUACGAAUAAGGAUCGGCUAACUCCGUGC